UGCCAGCCGCCGCGGUAAUACGGAGGGAGCUAGCGUUGUUCGGAAUUACUGGGCGUAAAGCGCACGUAGGCGGAUUAGAAAGUUGGGGGUGAAAUCCCAGGGCUCAACCCUGGAACUGCAUCCGAUACUGUUAGGCUAGAGUCCCGGAGAGGAUGGCGGAAUUCCCGGUGUAGGGGUGAAAUCCGUAGAUAUCGGGAGGAACACCAGUGGCGAAGGCGGCCAUCUGGACGGUGACUGACGCUGAGACUCGAAAGUGUGGGUAACAAACAGGAUUAGAUA
rnacentral:rRNA from 1 species